UACGUAGGCAGCAAGCGUUGUUCGGAAUUACUGGGCGUAAAGAGUACGUAGGUGGUUUACCAAGUCCGAUGUGAAAUCUCCUGGCUUAACUGGGAGGGUGCGUUAGAUACUGGUAGGCUUGAGUGUGGGAGAGGAGAGCGGAAUUCCUGGUGUAGCGGUGAAAUGCGUAGAUAUCAGGAGGAACGCCUGUGGUGUAGACGGCUCUCUGGACCAUUACUGACACUGAGGUACGAAAGCGUGGGUAGCAAACAGG
rnacentral:rRNA from 1 species